UGAGGCAAACUUUAACCUGUGAACAGCAGUUGCUUUGUAUGUGCUUAGUUGGUAAAGGAAUGAUUAGAUAAAUGGCAGAAUGGACUAAAUAAAUUAAAAAAUAUUUUACUUGUCAUCACAGAAUAACAAAGAGAGCAAGGGAGAGCUGCAUCCUCAACAGUAGGAUGGAGAGGGUCAUUAAGCUACAGGAGCCCACGCCUUGAUUUUUCAAGUGGCAGAUGUUCCAUUCACUCAGCAGGAAACACCAGACACUCCAUCACUGAUAGCUCCAGGGAAGACUGCUCAGGGGGCAACUGCCACUUUAGGUGGAUUUUGUAUUUGCAGAAAUAGUAGGUUUUGCAGUCUAUCUUACUUCCAAUUGGUGUUCCACAGAAUGCCUGAACAUAAACAAGAACAUUUUUGUAGAGAAUUUUUGGAAGGAUUACAUUGAAUCCAGUUGUCCUCUUUGCCAGCAGCCAGGAUCACUGGGGAGUGCAAAUGCACAUCCUAGAGAUACAGGAGUUCAUUUGAAAAUAGAUAAAAGAGAAGGCACGGUAAUGUAAGUAAAAUCAUAAAAUGAAUUUUAUGUAUCAUUAAUUCUGAUAACUGAUUUUAUUGCUUUGGAAAAUUAUUAUGGCAGUCUGCUACAAAAUACUUAACCUAAUUUAAAUUUCAGAAUACAUUUUUUGGCAAAUCGCUAGAAGCAAUAUUUUUAAUCAAUGAAGUGGAUCUAAUUUGGAUUUCAGAUGCACCAAGAGAGAAAGAUGAAGAAAGAGAAGUUUCCUAAGUAUCUUACAAAUUGUCUCAUGGGAAGAUCCAAAACAUCACUGGAUGGAAGAAGACAGAAAGUGAAUCUUUACAGAGAAGAUGGUGUGAAAUGACAGAAAGUGAACCUUUACCGAAAAGAUGUGUGAAAUAUGACAGCCACUAAAUCAUUGUCCCCAUGAAAGCUGGCCUUGACAGCACAGGUGAAGGCAAAUAUUUCCCACAAGAGAACUGUUAGCAGAUAACUUAAUUGUUCACAAACAAUUUGUGACACAAAAGGGGAAGAAAGCUGAGAAACGGAUUUUCAUCAACGCCUUGAAGAUGGAGAAUAACUUGGUUUGUAGGCUUGAGGCAUGUGAAAGACAAGAAUUAUGUGAAGGAACCUUUGAAACUGGUCAUGUGGAGUUUGUGUUUCUCAUAUGUUGCUAACCAGAGGGUAUCCAACACCGACAAGCUCCUCAAAAACUAGAAAGGAUUUCUCAACUUGUGAGUAUUUCCAGUUUCUUUCUUCAGCUUACUGUAGCAUGAGUAUGGACACACACAGAGAGUGAAAGUGGCAACGACAAUGGGGCUAUGAUGUCAUCAAAGACAUGGACUUUCUUCCAGAGCUGGACAAACUCCUGACAGUGUGAGUUUUCUCAUAGUAGAGCCUUUUAGACAGAAUUAUCUUUUGGAAUCAGCCAUCUACUAUGGAGUAAUGUAUUAAAAUUUUAUACUUGCCACUUACAAGUCAUAUUGGUUUAUCCUUAACAGAAGUACUCUAUUAUUUGAAUAUUGGGAUAUCCUCUCGGUCCAUCGUGGUUUCAGUCAAUGGCACUCAGAAUGGCCCCUCUACCCAAAUUAUAUCCCACACAGUGUUACCUUGAAAUGAGAGAAAAUUUGCAUACCAUAGGAGUGGAUAAUGGGCUCAAAACCAUAAGACCAAGUGUUGUGUAAUGUAUACCUCUUUAUCCAGAUGCAACUGAUCUAACAGAACGUUGGAAGGUCCUCCUAAAAACGUAGCUCAACUCCAUCUGCAGGUUGGACAAAUCAUUUUGAAGAAUUAAGGUAAUAUCAAAAAUGAAUAAUAUAGUUUAGUAUCUUCACCAUAACAAGAAACUGC
rnacentral:lncRNA from 1 species